UUCGAUACGUAAUGCGAAUUGCAGGAUUCAGUGAGUCAUCGAAAUUUUGAACGCAUAUUGCACUUCCGGGUUAGUCCUGGAAGUAUGCCUGUAUCUAGUCC
rnacentral:rRNA from 1 species